GAUGAAGAACGUAGCGAAAUGCGAUAACUAAUGUGAAUUGCAGAAUUCAGUGAAUCAUCGAGUCUUUGAACGCACAUUGCGCCCCCUGGUAUUCCGGGGGGCAUGCCUGUCCGAGCGUCAUUGCUGCCCUCAAGCACGGCUUGUGUGUUGGGCUCCGUCCCCCCGGGGACGGGCCCGAAAGGCAGCGGCGGCACCGAGUCCGGUCCUCGAGCGUAUGGGGCUUUGUCACCCGCUCUGUAGGCCCGGCCGGCGCCAGCCGACAACCCAUCAUCCUUUUCAGGUUGACCUCGGAUCAGGUAGGGAUACCUGCUGAACUUAAGCAUAUCAAUAAGCGGAGGA
rnacentral:misc_RNA from 1 species